rnacentral:tRNA from 1 species
UAGGCUAAAGCCCGCUGGGUUGGGCGUUUAGUUGUUAAUUAAAGUUUCACGGGAUCAAGGCCCGUUAGCCUAG